rnacentral:lncRNA from 1 species
AUCCUAGUGCUAUGUUGAUGGUGGGAAGAAAUUGAUAAUGAGCUCGUUCUUGGAUUGGAGAGUUUUCUUGAAUCCGAAUGCCAGCAAGGCUAUUUGAAAAGAAUAAAAGAAUAAUUAGAUUUGCUUGUGGAUUUCCUUUUUUCUUUUUGUUUGAUUAUUAUUUUAUUUAACCCUUUGAAUUUAUGAAAGUUGAAGGCAAAGCCUGACUAAUGUCUUUCUCUGUCAUUCACAGCAAAGCAGUAGGAAACAAUGUCACGUGUAUUGGAUAAAGAAUAACUGCAGCAGCCCUUAAAUGCUCGUGUCAAACUGGUGCCUUCUUCCCCCAGAACCAACCACAGCUCUUGCUGAAGCAGUCAGGCUGAGCUGUGUUUUUACAGUCCCUAAGCAAAGCUGAAGCUGCACAAAAGGGAUUUAGCUGAGCGUAAGCUGCUGCCCAUGAAACACCUCAUUUUUUCUUCAACAGCUUUCCAGCCCUGAGCAGCACUGGAUCAAACUGCAGUGUUGAUUUUCCUGAGCAGCAGCAGCAGCCCCAGCAGCCAUCCCUUCUCUGAGCCUGAAGGUCUGUGUUUCCUGAAUCAACACAUCCAGCACUUAGCUUUUCUUCCUGCUGUUACUCAGAUCACAGCCCUGAUCACAUUGUGGACUACACACAUCACUUAUGCUGCUGGGAGGCAAAGAACACAGAUAUGGGAGACGGUGGCUAGAAAGAAGAGAGAAUCAUCUAGAAGACCAAGGCAAUGUGGUUUAUUUGUGAUGUGCUGUUGCUUCACUCCAUUUAGUAAAGAUUUCAGCAGAGUUGGACAAUAUGUGUAAUACAGUACUGUAUCAGUAUGUAUUGGGAUGUCUCAAAAUAUAGCAUGAUAUAUGGAAUACAAACCAGAGAGCACUGGUUUGUUUGGUUGUUUCAGAAUAUGAAAGGAGCUCCAGUGUCAGCUGUGUAUUUGCAAGUGGUCAAUCUUCCCGGCAUUCAGAAGAGCUCUAGAGGAUCUCAGCUUUAAAAAGCAGCAGAAAAUGAACACACUCAUCAAUCAUUACAGAGUUUAUGACUGUGCAGGUAACACAGCAAGCUAAAUGGUUAUUUGCCUGCCUGCAAGUGCAGUGAACAUAAUUUUAACCCUGGU